rnacentral:rRNA from 1 species
AGAAUCAACGCUGGCGGCGUGCCUAACACAUGCAAGUCGCACGAGAAAGGGGCUUCGGCUCUGAGUAAAGUGGCGCACGGGUGAGUAACACGUGACUAACCUACCCUUGAGUGGGGAAUAACCUAGGGAAACCUGGGCUAAUACCGCAUAACACCUACGGGUCAAAGGAGCAAUUCGCUUAAGGAGGGGUCGCGGCAGAUUAGCUAGUUGGCGGGGUAAUGGCCCACCAAGGCAGUGAUCUGUA